UGGGGAAUCUUGCACAAUGGGGGCAACCCUGAUGCAGCGACGCCGCGUGAGCGAUGAAGCCCUUCGGGGCGUAAAGCUCUUUCGACCGGAACGAUAAUGACGGUACCGGGAGAAGAAGCUGCGGCUAACUACGUGCCAGCAGCCGCGGUAAUACGUAGGCAGCAAGCGUUGUUCGGAGUUACUGGGCGUAAAGAGUGCGUAGGCGGUUUUCUAAGUUCGGUGUGAAAUCUCCCGGCUUAACUGGGAGGGUGCGCCGAAGACUGGGAAGCUGGAGUGUGGGAAAGGCCGGCGGAAUUCCUGGUGUAGCGGUGAAAUGCGUAGAUGUCAGGAGGAACACCGGCGGUGUAGACGGCUUGCUAGACCAUAACUGACGCUGAGGCACGAAAGCGUGGGUAGCAAACA
rnacentral:rRNA from 1 species